rnacentral:rRNA from 1 species
CUACGAAGGGGGCUAGCGUUGUUCGGAUUUACUGGGCGUAAAGCGCACGUAGGCGGAUUGACAAGUUAGGGGUGAAAUCCCGAGGCUCAACCUCGGAACUGCCUCUAAAACUGUCAAUCUCGAGACCGGAAGAGGUGAGUGGAACUCCUAGUGUAGAGGUGGAAUUCGUAGAUAUUAGGAAGAACACCAGUGGCGAAGGCGGCUCACUGGUCCGGUACUGACGCUGAGGUGCGAAAGCGUGGGGAGCAAACAGGAUUAGAAACCCUAGUAGUCC